rnacentral:rRNA from 1 species
AAUGAACGCUGGCGGCGUGCCUAAUACAUGCAAGUCGAGCGAACGGACGAGAAGCUUGCUUCUCUGAUGUUAGCGGCGGACGGGUGAGUAACACGUGGAUAACCUACCUAUAAGACUGGGAUAACUUCGGGAAACCGUAGCUAAUACCGGAUAAUAUUUUGAACCGCAUGGUUCAAAAGUGAAAGACGGUCUUGCUGUCACUUAUAGAUGGAUCCGCGCUGCAUUAGCUAGUUGGUAAGGUAACGGCUUACCAAGGCAACGAUGCAUAGCCGACCUGAGAGGGUGAUCGGCCACACUGGAACUGAGACACGGUCCAGACUCCUACGGGAGGCAGCAGUAGGGAAUCUUCCGCAAUGGGCGAAAGCCUGACGGAGCAACGCCGCGUGAGUGAUGAAGGUCUUCGGAUCGUAAAACUCUGUUAUUAGGGAAGAACAUAUGUGUAAGUAACUGUGCACAUCUUGACGGUACCUAAUCAGAAAGCCACGGCUAACUACGUG